rnacentral:rRNA from 1 species
GAUGAACGCUGGCGGCGUGCCUAACACAUGCAAGUCGAGCGAUUCUCUUCGGAGAAGAGCGGCGGACGGGUGAGUAACGCGUGGGUAACCUGCCUGUACACACGGAUAACAUACCGAAAGGUAUGCUAAUACGAGAUAAUAUACUUUUAUCGCAUGGUAGAAGUAUCAAAGCUCCGGCGGUACAGGAGGGACCCGCGUCUGAUUAGCUAGUUGGUAAGGUAACGGCUUACCAAGGCGACGAUCAGUAGCCGACCUGAGAGGGUGAUCGGCCACAUUGGAACUGAGACACGGUCCAAACUCCUACGGGAGGCAGCAGUGGGGAAUAUUGCACAAUGGGCGAAAGCCUGAUGCAGCAACGCCGCGUGAGCGAUGAAGGCCUUCGGGUCGUAAAGCUCUGUCCUCAAGGAAGAUAAUGACGGUACUUGAGGAGGAAGCCCCGGCUACUACGUGCCAGCAGCCGCGGUA